rnacentral:lncRNA from 1 species
AAGAAUGAAAGGAAUAAAUAUACAGUAAAAACUUACAGGACUUAUCUGAAUUAUGGACUAUUUUGAGUCGACUACUCAAUCUUUCAUGAUUUUGAGUUCUACUAUCCAAUCUUUCAAUUUAUUUAAUUUUAGUCAAGUUAAUGACACUUUGACUUCAAAUUUUGAAUGCGUCGUUUAUAUUUACAAAUUUAGUUAAUACACUUUAUAUAAUUCUCGCAAAUAUAAAUUUAUUAAAGCAAAUAGUAUGCUUAUAUUUUAAAGUACAAUUGACUGACUUAAAUAAACCAAAUUAAAAAGUUGUUUAGUAAGAUCAAAAUUUUCAAAGAUUGGAUAAUCGAUGGUCUAUAGUUUA